rnacentral:rRNA from 1 species
CGAGUUUGAUCCUGGCUCAGAACGAACGCUGGCGGCAUGCCUAACACAUGCAAGUCGAACGAGACCUUCGGGUCUAGUGGCGCACGGGUGCGUAACGCGUGGGAACCUGCCCCUUGGUUCGGAAUAACAGUUAGAAAUGACUGCUAAUACCGGAUGAUGACUUCGGUCCAAAGAUUUAUCGCCGAGGGAUGGGCCCGCGUAGGAUUAGCUAGUUGGUGGGGUAAUGGCCUACCAAGGCGACGAUCCUUAGCUGGUCUGAGAGGAUGAUCAGCCACACUGGGACUGAGACACGGCCCAGACUCCUACGGGAGGCAGCAGUGGGGAAUAUUGGACAAUGGGCGAAAGCCUGAUCCAGCAGUGCCGCGUGAGUGAUGAAGGCCUUAGGGUUGUAAAGCUCUUUUACCCGGGAUGAUAAUGACAGUACCGGAGAAUAAGCUCCGGCUAACUCCGUGCCAGCCGCCGCGGUAAC